AGAUCGAACGCGGGGAUGCUUACCCUGCAUCGAACGGCAGCACGGGUGCUUGCACCUGGUGGCGAGUGGCGAACGGGUGAGUAAUACAUCGGAACGUGUCCUGUAGUGGGGGAUAGCCCGGCGAAAGCGAUUAAUACCGCAUACGAUCUACGGAUGAAAGCGGGGGAUCUUCGGACCUCGCGCUAUAGGGGCGGCCGAUGGCGGAUUAGCUAGUUGGUGAGGUAAAGGCUCACCAAGGCGACGAUCCGUAGCUGGUCUGAGAGGACGACCAGCCACACUGGGACUGAGACACGGCCCAGACUCCUACGGGAGGCAGAGUGGGGAAUUUUGGUCAAUGGGCGAAAGCCUGAUCCAGCAAUGCCGCGUGUGUGAAGAAGGCCUUCGGGUUGUAAAGCACUUUUUCCGGAAAGAAAUCCUUGAUCCUAAUAUGGUCGGGGGAUGACGGUACCGGAAGAAUAAGCACCGGCUAACUACGUGCCAGCAGGCGCGGUAAUACGUAGGGUGCAAGCGUUAAUCGGAAUUACUGGGCGUCGUGCGCCGGUGAUGUAAGACCGUGUGAAAUCCCCGGGCUCAACCUGGGAACUGCAUUGGUGACUGCAUCGCUUGAGUAUGGCAGAGGGGGGUAGAAUUCCACGUGUAGCAGGAAAUGCGUAGAGAUGUGGAGGAAUACCGAUGGCGAAGGCAGCCCCCUGGGUCAAUACUGACGCUCAUGCACGAAAGCGUGGGGAGCAAACAGGAUAGAUACCCUGGUAGUCCACGCCCUAAACGAUGUCAACUGGUUGUCGGGACUUCAUUGACUUGGUAACGUAGCUAACGCGUGAAGUUGACCGCCUGGGGAGUACGGUCGCAAGAUUAAAACUAAGGAAUUGACGGGGACCCGCACAAGCGGUGGAUGAUGUGGAUUAAUUCGAUGCAACGCGAAAACCUUACCUAUUGACAUGUACGGAAUCCUGCUGAGAGGCGGGAGUGCCCGAAAGGGAGCCGUAACACAGGUGCUGCAUGGCUGUCGUCAGCUCGUGUCGUGAGAUGUUGGGUUAAGUCCCGAACGAGCGCAACCCUUGUCCCUAGUUGCUACGCAAGAGCACUCCAGGGAGACUGCCGGUGACAAACCGGAGGAAGGUGGGGAUGACGUCAAGUCCUCAUGGCCCUUAUGGGUAGGGCUUCACUCAUACAAUGGUCGGAACAGAGGGUUGCCAAGCCGCGAGGUGGCCAACCAGAAAACCGAUCGUAGUCCGGAUCUGCAACUCGACGCGUGAAGCUGGAUCGCUAGUAAUCGCGGAUCGCAUGCCGCGGUGAAUACGUUCCCGGGUCUUGUACACACCGCCCGUCACACCAUGGGAGUGGGUUUUGCCAGAAGUGGCUAGUCUACCGCAAGGAGGACGGUCACCACGGCAGGAUUCAUGAUGGCGAAGUCG
rnacentral:rRNA from 1 species